rnacentral:rRNA from 1 species
UACGAAGGGUGCAAGCGUUACUCGGAAUUACUGGGCGUAAAGGGUGCGUAGGUGGUUUUUUAAGUCCGUUGUGAAAUCCCUGGGCUCAACCUGGGAAUGGCAGUGGAUACUGGAAAGCUAGAGUGCGGUAGAGGGUAGUGGAAUUCCCGGUGUAGCGGUGAAAUGCGUAGAGAUCGGGAGGAACACCAGUGGCGAAGGCGGCUACCUGGACCAGCACUGACACUGAGGCACGAAAGCGUGGGGAGCAAACAGG